CGAGAAAAGCCUCUAGAUAGAAAAUAGGUGCCCGUACCGCAAACCGACACAGGUAGUCAAGAUGAGAAUUCUAAGGUGAGCGAGCGAACUCUCGUUAAGGAACUCGGCAAAAUGACCCCGUAACUUCGGGAGAAGGGGUGCUCUUUAGGGUUAACGCCCAGAAGAGCCGCAGUGAAUAGGCCCAAGCGACUGUUUAUCAAAAACACAGGUCUCUGCUAAACCGUAAGGUGAUGUAUAGGGGCUGACGCCUGCCCGGUGCUGGAAGGUUAAGAGGAGUGGUUAGCUUCUGCGAAGCUACGAAUCGAAGCCCCAGUAAACGGCGGCCGUAACUAUAACGGUCCUAAGGUAGCGAAAUUCCUUGUCGGGUAAGUUCCGACCCGCACGAAAGGCGUAACGAUUUGGGCACUGUCUCAACGAGAGACUCGGUGAAAUCAUAGUACCUGUGAAGAUGCAGGUUACCCGCGACAGGACGGAAAGACCCCGUGGAGCUUUACUGUAGCCUGAUAUUGAAAUUCGGCACAGCUUGUACAGGAUAGGUAGGAGCCUUUGAAACGUGAGCGCUAGCUUACGUGGAGGCGCUGGUGGGAUACUACCCUAGCUGUGUU
rnacentral:rRNA from 1 species